AUUUAUAUAGUUUAAUAAAAACCUUACAUUUUCAUUGUAAAAAUAAAAUAAUUUUUUUUAUAAAUA
rnacentral:tRNA from 1 species